rnacentral:rRNA from 1 species
AACGAACGCUGGCGGCAUGCCUAACACAUGCAAGUCGAACGGAACCUUCGAGCUUGCUGGCGCACGGGUGCGUAACCCGUUGGAACCUGCCCUUAGGUUCGGCCUAACUCCCCGAAAGGGGUUCUAAUACCGGCUCAUAUCUUCGGACCAAAGCUUUCUCGCCUUUGGGUGGGGCCGAGUUGUAUUAGCUAGUUGGUAGGGUAAAACCCUACCAAGGCUAGGAUCCAUAGCUGGUUUGAGAGGAUGGUCAGCGACACUGGGACUGAGACACGGCCCAGAAUGCUGGGGGAGGCAGGAGAGGGGAAUAUAGGACAGUGGGCGAGAGGCUGAUCCAGCAAGGCCGGGUGAGUGAUGAAGGCCUUAGGGUUGUAAAGCUCUUUGACCCGGGAUGAUAAUGACAGUACCGGGAGAAUAAGCACCGGCUAACUCCGUG